rnacentral:rRNA from 1 species
UGCCCCAUAGUCUGGGAUACCACUUGGAAACAGGUGCUAAUACCGGAUAAGAAAGCGGAUCGCAUGAUCAGCUUUUAAAAGGCGGCGUAAGCUGUCGCUAUGGGAUGGCCCCGCGGUGCAUUAGCUAGUUGGUAAGGUAAAGGCUUACCAAGGCGAUGAUGCAUAGCCGAGUUGAGAGACUGAUCGGCCACAUUGGGACUGAGACACGGCCCAAACUCCUACGGGAGGCAGCAGC